GGGAAAUUAGCUUAAAUGGUAGAGCCCUUGCUUUGCAAGUGAGAGGUAGUGGGAUCGAUGUCCACAUUCUCCA
rfam:Camelus ferus unplaced genomic scaffold scaffold595, whole genome shotgun sequence.